GAAGCCCCCAGCGCAGACCGCGUCUCCUCUCGAGUCCCUGCGAAAUGGAGAGCAAGUUACUGCCCCCAAAGAAGGAGGAGUUGGUGGCCUGGGGCUUCUGGAAGAGGUCUGUAACCACCACGGGAAGGAAGGGGAGAAGGAACCAACCAGACCAGCAGGACUGGAAAGCGUGGGGCCACUUGGCUGCGCUUGGAGACGGGUGAGCAUCAACAGCGGCUUCUGCAGGAAGGUUGAGCCUGUGCAGGCAUCUCAGCUGUCCCCAUCAAGACUCCGUCUGGGCCCUGAGGCCCUCCCACCACAGCUCCUGGCCUAGUACCAGCAUCUCCUGCAGGUUCCAGUUCUUUUAGGAACAAAGAAACAAAAGAAUGAGGCUCUAAGGUAGAAUUUCAGGCAGGACAUCUGCUGGACUUAAGAUUUUAGAGAGGGAGUGACCCCAUGGACUAGCCCACCAGGCUCCUCUGUCCAUGGGAUUUUCCAGGCAAGAAUACUGGAGUCGGUUGCCAUUUCCUUCUCCAGAGGAUCUUCCCGACCCAGGAAUUGAACCCAUGUUUCCUGCGUCUCUUGCAUUGGCAGGCAGAUUCUUUACAACUGAGUCACCUGGGAAGCCCUCCUUUAAGUUAAUUGCCUUCAAUACUGCUACCAGAAAAGCCACAUUCUGUUUGGCUGGGAGAGAAUAGAUACAUGUAU